AUGCCGAGGAAAGAGCGACGGUCAGGUGUGGCAUACAUCCACAAUGACAAAGAACGUGAUCUCACCUUCUACAAGCGACGUUCCGGUUUGUUCAAGAGGGCGACUGACAUCUCUGCCCUCACUAGGGCUAGGGUUGCGGUCGUCCUAGAAACAAACAAUGGAAAGAUGCACUCAUUUGGGACACCAUUGGCCGAUCCCAUUGUUGAUGCUUUCCUAUUUGGAGCUCCACUAGCAGUUCCCUUCGCCGACGAGGCAACCACUGCUAGGAUUGGAAGCCUACAAAAUGAGGUGGCUCAGUUGGACAUGGAGAACAUGACCGAGGAAGACAAAAACAAACUUUCCAUCCUUCGUAUGAAAAAUAUACAAGAAGAGAACCCAGGUAUGGUGGCAAAUCUUAUCUUCACGAAGGAAAAAGAUCUCAGUCUUGAAGAUUUGAACAAGCUCUUCAGUGAGCUCUCUCGAGUACUAAAAGACAUUAGAUUCCGGCUACCUCCGUUGCAUGGUCGUGAAGACAAGACCGGCAGCACAUCUGUGGCACAAGAUCUGCAACUACCAAGUGUUUUGCCGGCGGAUCAUUUGGGUACUACUCAUUCACUUAUGCAGUCAUCGUGGCCUCACAAUCUCUCACAACUCCAGAUACCUUCAGAUCCACUACCAUCACAACCAGAACAAACUUCGGCACCACUUUUUCCUAUGCAGGCACCACAAAUGUUACAUUCCGCACCACCAUCUUUAGCUCCACAUUUGGCUUCCCAUGUCCAACCCAUACCAAAUCAGGUACAUGAGCAAACUCCACCAGAGGAUUUGCAUGUUCAGAACUAUGAAAGUCCUUGCAACAUAGUGCAACCACAACAAAAUGAUGCAAACCAUGACUCAACAUCUGGGCAGAAUUUGGAGGCCUCUCCACUAUUGGGGUACUCGAGUGGCAAUGCUUUUUCUAUUGAUGACCCAUUUAACACUGAACAAUGGGGUUAUGCUCUAUCAGAUCAGUCGUAUUACAAUAGUUUCCUAGGAAUGGAUGCUUACUUAGGCUCUAGCGGUACGGAUCUAGGACAGUCUUCCAUGGUAAAUGGUGGAUGGGUUGAUGUGCCGCCCUCUUCCACUGGACAAGAUAUUGAUAUU
rnacentral:rRNA from 1 species